UGGGAGAUCCCAGGGGCAGUGACCGUCUAUCUUCUGAGGAUAGAUAUAGUGUUUAUCAGGGGUUACCGCUCCAAUGGGAAAAUCUUCUUGCUCCUUUUCUAACCGCUGGACCAUCAUGGUUUGUAACACAAGUAAAGAUCCUGUAGAAUGCCGAGGUGACUGAAAGGAGGUCUGUACUGUGCCAUCUGGAUUUCUUCUGAAAGAAGAUUCUGUAAUCUAGAUCGGUUGAGAGGUUGAAUGAAGUCUUUCAUAGUUAGUUAACCAAUCCUUUGGAAUGAGCUGCU
rnacentral:misc_RNA from 1 species